CCCUUAGAUGUUCUGGGCCGCACGCGUGCUACACUGAGUGGAUCAGCGGGUCAGGUUGCGCGAAAGUGUUUCCUAAUCUUUAAAUCCGCUCGUGAUGGGGAUUGACGGUUGCAAUUUUCCGUCAUGAACGAGGAAUACCUUGUAAGCGCGGGUCAUCGUCCCGCGCUGAAUACGUCCCUGCCCUUUGUACACACCGCCCGUCGCUCCUACCGAUUGGGUGGUCCGGUGAGGCUUUGGGAUCUGAGCGGAAAGAGCGUUUCGCUGUUUCUGCCCGGAAAACUCAGUCGAACCUUAUCAUUUAGAGGAAGGAGAAGUCGUAACA
rnacentral:rRNA from 1 species